UACAGAGGGUGCGAGCGUUAAUCGGAAUUACUGGGCGUAAAGCGCGCGUAGGCGGGCUAUUAAGUGAGAGGUGAAAGGCUGGGGCUCAACCUCAUGCAGUGCCUCUCAUACUGGUAGUCUUGAGGGCGGUAGAGAGAAGUGGAAUUCCUGGUGUAGCGGUGAAAUGCGCAGAUAUCAGGAGGAACACCGGUGGCGAAGGCGGGUCUCUGGGCCGAUACUGACGCUGAGGAGCGAAAGCGUGGGGAGCGAACAGG
rnacentral:rRNA from 1 species